rnacentral:piRNA from 1 species
UUUUUUUCUUAGGUUGUUCUGCUG